CAACCUGCCUGUAAGACUGGGAUAACUCCGGGAAACCGGGGCUAAUACCGGAUAANUCUUUNCCUCACAUGAGGAAAAGCUGAAAGAUGGCAUCUCGCUAUCACUUACAGAUGGGCCCGCGGCGCAUUANNUAGUUGGUGAGGUAACGGCUCACCAAGGCGACGAUGCGUAGCCNACCUGAGAGGGUGAUCGGCCACACUGGGACUGAGACACGGCCCANACUCCUACGGGAGGCAGCAGUAGGGAAUCUUCCGCAAUGGACGAAAGUCUGACGGAGCAACGCCGCGUGAGUGAUGAAGGUUUUCGGAUCGUAAAACUCUGUUGUCAGGGAAGAACAAGUACCGGAGUAACUGCCGGUACCUUGACGGUACCUGACCAGAAAGCCACGGCUAACUACGUGCCAGCAGCCGCGGUAAUACGUAGGUGGCAAGCGUUGUCCGGAAUUAUUGGGCGUAAAGCGCGCGCAGGCGGUUCCUUAAGUCUGAUGUGAAAGCCCCCGGCUCAACCGGGGAGGGUCAUUGGAAACUGGGGAACUUGAGUGCAGAAAAGAAGAGUGGAAUUCCACGUGUAGCGGUGAAAUGCGUAGAGAUGUGGAGGAACACCAGUGGCGAAGGCGACUCUUUGGUCUGUAACUGACGCUGAGGCGCGAAAGCGUGGGGAGCAAACAGGAUUAGAUACCCUGGUAGUCCACGCCGUAAACGAUGAGUGCUAAGUGUUAAAGGGUUUCCNCCCUUUAGUGCUGCAGCAAACGCAUUAAGCACUCCNCCUGGGGGAGUACGGCCNCAAGGCUGAANCUCAAAGGAAUUGACGGGGGGCCCGCACAAGCGGUGGANCAUGUGGUUUAAUUCNANGCACCNCGAAAAACCUUACCNGGUCUUGACAUCUCNUGACAACCCUUAGAGAUAGGGCGUUCCCNUUCGGGGGACAGGAUGACAGGGGGGCAGGUUNUCCNC
rnacentral:rRNA from 1 species